UUCGGUACAUCGGCGACAGGUGGUGCAUGGUUGUCGUCAGCUCGUGUCGUGAGAUGUUGGGUUAAGUCCCGCAACGAGCGCAGCCCCUAUUGUUAGUUGCCAUCAUUCAGUUAGGCACUCUAGCGAGACUGCCGGUAAUAAACCGGAGGAAGGUGGGGAUGACGUCAAAUCAUCAUGCCCCUUAUGACCUGGGCUACACACGUGCUACAAUGGUUGGUACAACGAGUUGCGAGUCGGUGACGGCGAGCUAAUCUCUUAAAGCCAAUCUCAGUUCGGAUUGUAGGCUGCAACUCGCCUACAUGAAGUCGGAAUCGCUAGUAAUCGCGGAUCAGCACGCCGCGGUGAAUACGUUCCCGGGCCUU
rnacentral:rRNA from 1 species